AGCCCCUCGAGUGGUGGGGAUGAUUAUUUGGCCUAAAGCGUCCGUAGCCGGCCGGAUAAGUCUCCCGUUAAAUCCAGCGUCUCAAGCGUUGGACUGCGGGAGAUACUGUCUGGCUAGAGAGUGGGAGAGGUAUACGGUAUUCUGGGGGUAGGGGCGAAAUCCAUUGAUCCCCGGAGGACCACCAGUGGCGAAGGCUGUGUACUAGAACACGUCUGACGGUCAGGGACGAAAGCUGGGGUAGCGAACCGGAUUAGAUACCCGAGUAGUCC
rnacentral:rRNA from 1 species